rnacentral:rRNA from 1 species
GACAGAGGUGCCAAGCGUUAGGCGGAAUCACUGGGCUUAAAGCGUGUGUAGGCGGACUCGUAAGUACCUUGUGAAAUCCCACAGCUCAACUGUGGAACUGCUGGGUAUACUGCUUGUCUUGAGCCACUUAGGGGCUGUCGGAACAAACGGUGGAGCGGUGAAAUGCGUAGAUAUCGGGAGGAACACCAGUGGCGAAGGCGAUCUUCUGGUCUGUUUCUGACACUCAUACGCGACAGCUAGGGUAGUAAACGGG